ACGGCGGCCGUAACUAUAACGGUCCUAAGGUAGCGAAAUUCCUUGUCGGGUAAGUUCCGACCUGCACGAAUGGCGUAAUGAUGGCCAGGCUGUCUCCACCCGAGACUCAGUGAAAUUGAACUCGCUGUGAAGAUGCAGUGUACCCGCGGCAAGACGGAAAGACCCCGUGAACCUUUACUAUAGCUUGACACUGAACAUUGAGCCUUGAUGUGUAGGAUAGGUGGGAGGCUUUGAAGUGUGGACGCCAGUCUGCAUGGAGCCGACCUUGAAAUACCACCCUUUAAUGUUU
rnacentral:rRNA from 1 species